rnacentral:tRNA from 1 species
GUUCCAGUGGUGUAGACCGGUCAAGCAUACUGCCCUUUCAAGGCAGUGAUCCCGGGUUCAAAAUCUAUCGAUGAAAAUCCCGGCUGGAGCACCA